UACGUAGGUGGCAAGCGUUGUCCGGAAUUAUUGGGCGUAAAGCGCGCGCAGGUGGUUUCUUAAGUCUGAUGUGAAAGCCCACGGCUCAACCGUGGAGGGUCAUUGGAAACUGGGGAACUUGAGCGCAGAAGAGGAAAGUGGAAUUCCAAGUGUAGCGGUGAAAUGCGUAGAGAUUUGGAGGAACACCAGUGGCGAAGGCGACUUUCUGGUCUGUAACUGACACUGAGGCGCGAAAGCGUGGGGAGCGAACAGG
rnacentral:rRNA from 1 species